UCAUGAGGGGAAUGGCUAAAGACACUGCCUUGCAGACACUUGGUUUGUGUAGGCAUUUUCUCAUCUUUGGAUAUGGAGGCCUCCUAAAAAGCCUUUAGAUAAGGAUUGAAUUUACCAACCAUAAAGCAAAGCAGAGACCUGUUGAUGCUGAUGCAGAAGAAAUACCUAUUGUGUAGAAAAGAAUCUUUUCCAUUCCAUUGGGGAUUUCUAGAGCUACAAGUAAAUCCAUACACAACCUUCUAGAAAACUUGGGAUCUCCUACUUUAAAUUAAUCCAUUCUUGCUCUAAUGAAUAAAGCUGA